AUUGAACGCUGGCGGCAGGCCUAACACAUGCAAGUCGAGCGGAGAGGCGGACGGGUGAGUGAUGCCUAGGAAUCUGCCUGGUAGUGGGGGAUGAGGUCAGGAAACGGGCGCGAAGACCGCAUACUUUCAGAUGAGCAUAGUUCGGAUUAGCAUGUUGGUGUGGUAAAGGCCUACCAAGGCGACGAUCCGUAACUGGUCUGAGAGGAUGAUCAGUCACACUGGAACUGAGACACGGUCCAGACUCCUACGGUAGGCAGCAGUGGGGAAUAUUGGACAAUGGGCGAAAGCCUGAUCCAGCCAUGCCGCGUGUGUGAAGAAGGUCUUCGGAUUGUAAAGCACUUUAAGUUGGGAGGCGUUACCAACAGAAUAAGCACCGGCUAACUCCGUGCCAGCAGCCGCGGUAAUUC
rnacentral:rRNA from 1 species